CGAGACGCUCAUCGCUUCGAGAAGAUCAGUAACAUCAUCAAGCAGUUCAAGCUGAGCUGCAGUAAGCUGGCCGCCUCUUUCCAGAGCAUGGAAGUGCGCAACUCUAGCUUCGCCGCCUUCAUCGACGUGUUCACGUCCAACACCUACAUCAUGGUGAUCAUGUCAGACCCGUCCAUACCGUCUGCUGCCACGCUCAUCAACGUCAGGAACACCAGGAGACACUUUGAGAAGCUGGAGCGUGUGGACGGGCCCAAGCACAGUCUGCACAUGCGCAUGCUCUAGACGCACAGCCCACAGUGUGAGUGUCUAGAGCACACCUUUACCUGAGCUGCUGA